GCCUGGAUAGCUCAGUUGGAUAGAGCGUGGUGCUGAUAACAGCAAGGUUGCAGGUUCGAUCCCCGUAUGGGACA
rnacentral:tRNA from 1 species